GGGGGGUGGGGUGGUGGAGGUGUGGGUGGGGUGUGGUGGAGAGGAGAAAGUUACAAAUGCCAAUCUCUUUACACACUUCCUUACUUAUCUUAAAAUGUUAAUAAAGUUCUUUUGUGAAAGUAGGGAUAUAUUCUACUCAAGCCUUGUGAGGGGGACACUGGUAGCACUUGGUGAAGAGGCCAAAUGUAUCAAUUUGACGUAUGAAGUUAAGCAUACUUGCCCAUCCUCCAAACCCAAAUCCCACAACAAAAACCCAUACUACCACAAAUAUGUUCAUGCAAAAUUGGCCAACCCAUCCUCCAAGAAAUGAUGGUGGUCUCUCUACUGCAUUCUGUUCUCGAGGAAAAAAGAAAUAGCAGUUAGUGUAUGUGUCCAACACUAAAAUCAAACCAUUUCUAAAGCUAAGUAAUAAGGAAUUAAUUAAGAGGGAUAGCUAACCUCCCGUGCGGAUGCAGUUGAGAAAGUAAUCAUGUGUGCUAAUGCAGGAAUUAUGUAGACUGUAAAGCUGACAAGAAGAGAUCCAACAGUUGAGUUGAUAGGACCAAAGAAAGGAAAGACAAUGGCCAAGAACCAUAUUGGUAUCACCACAGGAAGUCUAGCCAAAGCCCUCUUGAACACACUCUUUGUUUCAUGUACUCUAAUGAAUUUUUCCCACACAAAGUAUAAGGGAGUGCAAGCAAACCCAAAUGUUAUGAACUGCAACCAAAGAAUGAAAGUUUUUGUUACCGUUUUCUGAAAACAAUCCAAUUUUGAACUCAUAUUUAUAUAUAAUUAAUGAAUGGUAAUUAAUUAACCUGAUGGAUUAGCAUGAGAACAACUGCAGUAUCUCUAUAUCCAGUCCUUGGGAGUAAAGAGAGGGCAUUAGAAUGAGUAAGUAGCAGGUCCCCAAAUGCCCAAUAAACAGCAGAAGCUGAGGGUAGUGUUAGAGUUAACACAUAUAAUGUUGCCAUCAAAUAUAUUAGCUUGAAUUUCUGUGGCUUCCACAUUGCAUGCAUAAUUUCCACUGUAACAGCAUGCCCACCGAAGGUGUAAAGAAUGUUGGUAGCCCCAGUAAAGUAGAGAACCAUUGUGGUUGGACCAGAGUGCUUCGCUCCUUCAACCUGUCCAUGAAUAAGGGAAGCAAUUGUGAGAUACCAUGCAGUAUAAGUAGUCAUCAUAAGGCCUAAGAAUGACCAAAUUCUGUAAUUAUGGAAGGAAGGAAUGAAGACAGUAGUUGCACAACAUGCUCCAAAGAUGUAGGUCCAUGUUCUCUUGUCCAGAUUAUCAUUUAUGUAGUAGAUGUUACUUGCACAAGCAAUCAACUGGAUCACAGAUCCAAACAGAAGAAACGUGCAGUUGAAAACUAAGCCUGCAUUUCUCCAGUGUUUCCCCAGCAGCCCAUCAAGGACUUCAAACCACUGAAUUACAUGA
rnacentral:misc_RNA from 1 species